UUAUAUUCUAUUCGGUUGACUGUCAUGGACAAAUUAUGUAUGAAUUGGAAUUGGAAUCGACUGUCCAGGGUGAUGUCAACAUGAGUCAGCUUUGGUACAGAUUUUCUUUAAUUCUAGUAAUCCAAAUUACUCAUUUGACUAUGUUUCUCUUGCUCAUAUUAUUAAUGUGUUUUAGUACUUGAUUAGCAGACAUUCUAGCAAUGAUGCAUCAUCUCAUUCAUUGCUGCAUUGCUUUGCUAUUGUCUGUUAUGCAGAGUGGUUCAUACCAACCCACAGGAUACUACAGAGGGUGCAAAUGAAUAUACGAUUCUUCCUUGCACUGUUUUUUGGAGAGAGUGCUGGAAGAGGACAAAGUGGUUGUUCAGGAAAUUCACUGCCUCCAUGGCGAGCAAAGGGCAACCUGAAUGUUAGUCGAUCAUAUCUGAUCCUGCACCCAGAGUUGAUCAAUAGAAGGAAUCAAUUGGGGAUAGCACUGUUGAUAUUGACGUCGAUCCAUGACAGUGAUAGUGACAUCGACAUGGGUGUGGUGUGGCAGAGAACAAGGACAUUAUGAGCCAAGAUGAAUCGCUUAUGGAUAUUGAUAGUGUAGACUCGGAGAACCUGCCUGCAGCAUAGAAUUUGUUAAAGAGCUUUACAAGUUUUACAGAGAAAAUGAGGUUGCCCUGGGUGUGGUCUAUACUGUACCUAAUGAGGAAUACCUGCAGAACCAUUCAAGGUUGGAGGAGAAUGAGGAUAGCUGCUUGAGGACAACUACCUUGAGUUCAUUGCCAAGAUGAUCCUUCAGCAAAGGUAUCCAAAGUAGAAGGCCUGUUAUUAUGCCUAAUUUGCUAGGCAUGGCAUUUCCUCGACAACCAGCUGUUAUAGACUCAUUUGUGGGUCGCCACUAUAGGCGCCGGGCUAGACAGACUAAGGCGAUUAAUCAAAUACAGGUUAAUCGUGGACUGUUGUAUACUUGGAUCAUUGGAUGGCAAUACCUCCACCAUCUCACCUCAAGCUGCUUGACAUUUCUGUUUCAUGGUUUCCCUGCUUCAGCUCUGAUCUCAUUUGUGUUAGCGAGCUGAUGUCGCUCAUGUUUUACUCAUAAAUUGGUAAUUAAAUCUAUAUAGUUCGCCACUGCGUCGAGGUAAUCUACCAUCAUAAGAUAUCAGAUCAGAGUGAUGACCAUUAUGUGUGCCUUAUGAUUUAGGUGUGUGGAGCCGAGGAGCACUGAGGAGUGAAACUUGGAGCUGGAGGUGCGAAGAUGGAUAGGAAAACUUAUUUUCUUUGAAUUAAUUUAUAAACUUAAAACUCUGCUAAACCAUCCCCUUGAUGAGAAUAUAAUGCAUGGAACAAGGCUGUGAUCUUUGUUCUGCAUACUUGAAUCAUGAUCCAAUUACUUUCUCAGACUAGGUGAGUUCCAGUGUGUAUGAGAGUAGUCAUGAAUCAUAGUCAUGAAUGGUUAAUACGAUUUUUGAUCA